GGUGUGGGGGGAAACGCUGUUGUAAACAUCCAUCUCAUCUGGUCCGCGAACGCUAUCGCAGCCUUCUGGCAGCGUGAGGAGACCGACAGCGGCCGGGAGCCGCCCGGGAGGGCUCUGAGGGACCCGGGAGGGCUGUGCGGGGCCGGCAGGGCUCUGAGACACCCGGUGGGGCUGUGAGGCAACCAGGAGGGCUCCGGGGCACUCGAAUCUUCUUGUCUGAAAAGAGUUCCUGGACUUCCUACAAAAUUGUUAUGCACCUUCACUCCAGAGGUUCAGCUCAUUAUUCUUGUUAAGAGAAGCAAAGGAUCUACAACAGAAGAAAAGCCUGCUGACAUCAAAUCUUCAUCGUUUUUUCCAGGAUUCACACCACAUAGAGGCUUUCUCCCUAUACAUACCUUGUGCUAACUCACUACAUGGAAGACCAGUGGCUUUUAAACCCUCCCAGGAAGGCAGACUCUGCCUCAGCACUGGGCUGAAGAGGAAAGGAGGAUGCUGGAGUUGGCCACUUCUCAGUCGUGAGGAGAAGAGACUGGGCUCAUGGGCAAGGCUGGGCUCAGUUCUGGGGGGAAUCUUUAUAUGAAGGAAGGAGGAAACACUGUUCAUAUAAUAUGAACUGUGGGAUGAGUUUAGAUUUAUUGUUCAUAAAUAUGGUUAUGACCAGUGGCACUUCAACCUAUUUACAUGCUUUUUUUUUUAAAUUAUUUUUCAGUACUUGCAUGUAACUUGUAACUGCAUAUAUUCUCUAUUUAGCAAUGAGA